rnacentral:other from 1 species
CACGUUCUGCGGUGUACGCUAGCUCGCUGGGUAUAAGACCCUUGAACCUAAGCAAUACCCAGGGGACUUGUUUGGCAGAGGUUGUUGAGCACGUCCGCCGCUGAGCGGAAAGCCUGAUACUUCUCCAACCCUCCCCACUUGAACCGUUGGUUCAAGGUCAACGGGCGAGCGGCGGCACGCGCGGUUCGUGC